UGGGUCCAGACAUUUUCCGGAUGUGGU
rnacentral:piRNA from 1 species